rnacentral:rRNA from 1 species
CCUACGGGUGGCUGCAGUGGGGAAUAUUGGACAAUGGGCGAAAGCCUGAUCCAGCCAUGCCGCGUGUGUGAAGAAGGCCUUCGGGUUGUAAAGCACUUUCAGUGGGGAAGAAAGCCUUGGGGCUAAUACCCUCGAGGAAGGACAUCACCCGCAGAAGAAGCACCGGCUAACUCCGUGCCAGCAGCCGCGGUAAUACGGAGGGUGCGAGCGUUAAUCGGAAUUACUGGGCGUAAAGCGCGCGUAGGCGGUCUGAUAAGCCGGUUGUGAAAGCCCCGGGCUCAACCUGGGAACGGCAUCCGGAACUGUCAGGCUAGAGUGCAGGAGAGGAAGGUAGAAUUCCCGGUGUAGCAGUGAAAUGCGUAGAGAUCGGGAGGAAUACCAGUGGCGAAGGCGGCCUUCUGGACUGACACUGACGCUGAGGUGCGAAAGCGUGGGUAGCAAACAGGAUUAGAUACCCGUGUAGUC